UACGGAGGGUGCGAGCGUUAAUCGGAAUUACUGGGCGUAAAGCGCACGCAGGCGGUUUGUUAAGCUAGAUGUGAAAGCCCCGGGCUCAACCUGGGAUGGUCAUUUAGAACUGGCAGACUAGAGUCUUGGAGAGGGGAGUGGAAUUCCAGGUGUAGCGGUGAAAUGCGUAGAUAUCUGGAGGAACAUCAGUGGCGAAGGCGACUCCCUAGCCAAAGACUGACGCUCAUGUGCGAAAGUGUGGGUAGCGAACAGG
rnacentral:rRNA from 1 species